GACGAACGUUGGCGGCGUGCUUAAUACAUGCAAGUCAACUGAAGCAGUGGUAGCAAUCUCGCUGUGGAGGUGGCGCACGGGUGAGUAACACGUAGGUAAUCUGCCUUCAGGUCUGGCAUAACUCCGGGAAACCGGGGCUAAUAGCAGAUGAUGCAGCGGCUCGACAUCGAGACAGUUGUUAAAGCUCUGGCGCCUGAAGAUGAGCCUGCGUCUGAUUAGCUAGUUGGCGGGGUAACGGCCCACCAAGGCAACGAUCAGUAGCUGGUCUGAGAGGAUGAUCAGCCACACUAGAACUGAGACACGGUCCAGACUCCUACGGGAGGCAGCAGUAAGGAAUAUUGCUCAAUGGGAGAAAUCCUGAAGCAGCAACGCCGCGUGAGGGACGAAGGGCUUUUGCUUGUAAACCUCUGUAGUGAGAGAAAAAAAUCCCAAUCUUUGGGACAUGAUGGUAGCUCAAAAGUAAGCCCCGGCUAACUACGUG
rnacentral:rRNA from 1 species